rnacentral:rRNA from 1 species
UACGUAGGUGGCAAGCGUUGUCCGGAUUUACUGGGUGUAAAGGGCGUGUAGCCGGGCUGACAAGUCAGAUGUGAAAUCCGGGGGCUCAACCCCCGAACUGCCUUUGAAACUGUUGGUCUUGAGUAUCGGAGAGGCAGGCGGAAUUCCUAGUGUAGCGGUGAAAUGCGUAGAUAUUAGGAGGAACACCAGUGGCGAAGGCGGCCUGCUGGACGACAACUGACGGUGAGGCGCGAAAGCGUGGGGAGCAAACAGG